AGGGUGUAAACGCUGCAGACUUGGUGUUGGAAGUCCUUUGGGGGCAUUCAGUGCCGGAGAGAAGUUGUUAAGUCUGCUACUUGGGGAGUACGUCCGCAAGGAUGAAACUUAGAGGAAUUGGCGGGGGAGCACCGCAACGGGAGGAGCGUGCGGUUUAAUUGGAUUCAACGCCGAAAAACUCACCAGCAGCGACUGUUACAUGAAAGUCAGGUUGAUGACCUUACUAGAUUUUCAGAGAGGAGGUGCAUGGCGUCAGUGACU
rnacentral:rRNA from 1 species